ensembl:lncRNA
AUGGAGAACAGGCCUAAACGCUGGACCUGGGGAGGACCACCCGGAGGGGAAGAGGGUAACCCUAAGACCCCGCCCUCUCAUGCUAUUGGCUCAGCUCUGCCUCAUCAUCCCGCCUCUGCUGCCAGUCCCAACCAAUCCAGGAACGUGUGUGAUUUCCUGACACCACCCUCCCCGGACCAGCCAAUCACUAAACGCCUCUCCAACUCUUCAGCCUCCCUGCAUUCACCAGAAAGAGCAUCCCCCAGCCCCCAGCGACCGGCCUACAAAUGUUCCCCCUCCAGGAAGGCAAGCAAUGGACCCCCGGAAGACAAGACCCCCAGAACACCCACAACAGAGAGAGGCCCCGCCUCCUGUCUGACUGACUCUUCAAUGAGACGCCUAGAAUCUCCGACCACUCCCACCCGAAGCUCCUCCCCCAGAGCCCAUAGCAAAGCAAUGGGCACGCCCAAAAGGGUGAGGUCGACUAAGAGUCGUGCUCAAUCCCCCUGCUCCCCGGGACAGUACCCUCCCUCCCCCCUCCGCCAGCGACCCCCAGUAACCGAGGGCAACCAUGAGGCCAGGGGUCAUGGAACCCUGGAGAGGAAGUCCUCCAAGCCGGACCCAACAGAGAAGAAGAUCCCCAAGUCCUGCAGCAGAGACCUGGCGACAGAUUCUCCAGGUACGCCCACAGGCAGGAACGUUGCCGGGACAACGGAUGCAGAGGAGGCAUCUAGACUGUUGGCUGAGAGGCGGCGUCUGGCCAGAGUACAGAAAGAGCAGGAGGACAAACUACGACAGGAGGAGGAGAGGUGUGUGUGUGUUUGUCGGGUCAGAAGGAUGUGCAGAGGGUUGUGUGCAUUUUUAAAUACUUUAUUUAUUUAA